CAGCAGCGCGGUAAUACGUAGGGUGCAAGCGUUAAUCGGAAUUACUGGGCGUAAAGCGUGCGCAGGCGGUUAUAUAAGACAGAUGUGAAAUCCCCGGGCUCAACCUGGGAACUGCAUUUGUGACUGUAUAGCUAGAGUACGGCAGAGGGGGAUGGAAUUCCGCGUGUAGCAGUGAAAUGCGUAGAUAUGCGGAGGAACACCGAUGGCGAAGGCAAUCCCCUGGGCCUGUACUGACGCUCAUGCACGAAAGCGUGGGGAGCAAACAGGAUUAGAUACCCCAGUAGUCCCUGUCUCUUAUACA
rnacentral:rRNA from 1 species